AAAAUAGCAAUGCAGCGCAAAAUAACUCCAUUAUCAGAGCUCCGUCCCAUGAACACCCUGUACAAUGUUCAUGUCAGGGUGUCAAGGACUUGGGAAUAUAGGGGUAAAAGUGAGAAAACCCACUAAUCCAUUUUGACAUGGUGCUCAUUGAUCAAAAGGGUUAUGCGAUCUACUGUGAGGUAACUCCACAUGUGCUGGAUCAGUUCAAACAAUAUUUACAAGAAGGAAAGGUUCUCUACAUAUGCAACACAUGUGUUGAAAGUGCUAAGCCUGGGUACAGAGUUGUAGAUGCCCCUUACAUGUUAAAAUUCAUCAUGAGGACACAGAUCUUUGAAGGAAACAGCAAUGAAACAAGUAUCCCCAAGUAUGUAUUUUCGUUAACGCCAAUCGAAAUGCUACCACAAUAUGCAAGAAGGACAGAUCGUUUCCUAGAUGUCAUUGGAAAAAUCACUGCCAUCUCAAAUGCAGCUGUAGCGCGUAACACAUCUGGAGACCUUAUGAUGCGUAGGCUAAUAACACUUCAAGAUCACAAUGUUCCAAACAAAAAAGUUAUGCAUUUCCUAUUUCGCAUACAUAUUUUUACAUACAGAUUCCAUGCUUGAUUUCUCUUAAAUACUUGCAGGGGAAGCACAAUUCAUCACGUCAUAGCAAUAUUUGUGGGCACACUCAUGAAAAUAUAUCGAGAAGAUCACAAAUUCUUCAGUGGUACUUCAGCAUGUCGGUGGUAUAUAAAUGAAAAUGACAUUCCAGCAAUGAGGACAUUUUAAAGAGGACUGCCAUCUCUGGUGACACCAAUAAAAAAACUAGAACUCCAAAGCGAAGAUUACAUGGAGCAAGGUGUAGAAGAAAAAACUCUAUUUGACCUAAAACAGAUUGAUCCUUUGAGUGACAAGAACAAAAGAUUUCAGUGUACAGUCACACUGAUAUCUAUACCGGAAAAAGAGCAAUGGUGCUACAGAGCUUGCAAAGUUUGCAAUUCCAGAAUGAUACCAGGUGAUGAUGGAUAUCAGUGCACAAAGAUAGAUGGCU